ensembl:lncRNA
CUGGGACCUGAAGUAUCCAUUGAAGGGUUUAGGUAAACUGUCUGGGACCUGGAAGAAUCCUUUGAAGGGGUUAGGUAAACUGUCUGGGACCUGGAAGAAUCCUUUGAAGGGGUUAGGAAAACUGUCUGGGACCUGAAGAAUCCAUUGAAGGGUUUAGGUAAACUGGGACCUGGUAGACUCCAUUGAAGGGUUUAGGUAAACUGGGACCUGUAAGAAUCCAUUGAAGGGUUUAGGUAAACUGUCUGGGACCUGAAGAAUCCAUUGAAGGGUUUAGGUAAACUGGGACCUGGUAGAAUCCAUUGAAGGGUUUAAGUAAACUG